GCCAAGGUGGCGGAACGGCCACGCAAUUGCCUGCAGAGCAAUACCAACCCGGUUCGACUCCGGGCCUUGGCU
rnacentral:tRNA from 2 species